AAUUAUGCCUUAUUUGUGGUGAUAAAUCUACUGGUUAUCAUUUUGGUGUCAAAUCAUGUGAAUCAUGUAAAAUAUUUUUUAGAAGAAACGCCAAUAAAUUGGAUGAAUUCAACUGCUUUUUAGGCAACAAUUGUGAAAUUAAUAUUAAAAGCCGAAAAUCGUGUACAAAAUGUCGAUUAACUAAAUGUUUAGCUAUGGGAAUG